rnacentral:lncRNA from 1 species
GUGUUCCAAAUUCUGGUUAAUAAUAUACAGAACACCGACGAAUGAAGGAUUAUAAUUAUGUUAUAAAGCAUUCAAGGUAAAACAUAAUAUGCUUGUCAAUACAGCACGUUUAUGAAACACAUUUAUAUAUUCAGAGUUGAAAAAUGAGGCUUAACACCAAAUUUUGAAGUAUACGAUGUCUUUCCAUUUAUGGAAUGCAUAUGGAAUACAUUUGCUCAAGAUCCAUUGCAUGUAUGGACUGUUAUAGAUUGUAAAGGGAUAAUUCUACAAUUGGUUCAUACACUCUUGGACAAUGCUCCAGUUAGUUUUAAAUAUUUCAAUUUUUGUUUGACAAAAUGAUUUAAAAACGAAAUACAUUUAUAUAUGUGUAUAACGUAAUACAUUUACAAUAACAUAAUUACGUAGAUACUCAACUUUCCACAAGUGCCGAAUGACACAGACAUUAACAUCUAUAUGUCAAUUAAUGGCCUGCAACAAUGAGCAUAUUCAGCUAUAACAAGCCCCGAAAUGACAUAUGUAAAUCAAUUAAAACGAGAAUACUAACGACCUAAUUUAUGUACACACAUGGACACACUUCUGUUUCACUUAUAUGCCAAAAAUAACAAGUAAGCUACUUAGAAACGUUAAAGGUAAUUAAUGACGUAGUUACAAUUCAUUUACGUAACAACACAAGAAAAUAGAAAUUGUGUCAUAGAUGUGUUUAUAGGACCUACUAACCUCCAUUGCGCUAUCGUUUGUAUUUGUUUAUUUAACCACGGAAAUACGUUUCGCUUAUAUUGUAGAUUAAUACAUGAAGUUAGAUAAAUAGCUACACAUACAUGUAGCAAUAUUAAAAAAAGUAAUCAUUAUGACUUUGUAUAAUUCAAAGAAAUGAUCCGAUCGAUUUAAAACUAAACCGGUAGAUUGCAGUACUUUUAUAAUUACAAUAUAAUGUAAAUGGGUACAUAUUUAAAUAUCGGUCAAGUCAUUAUACUAUAAAGCAUGCAUUUAAAUAUAAAGAUUCGACGUAUUGUUAUGUCUUUACAUUCAUUAAAAAAUGAGUUUUGGGUCAAAACAUUUACACAGAUCAUUGGUGUUUUAUAAAUGAAAUCGUGUAUGUUGGUAACAUUAAAGGAACAUUACCAUAUAGCUUUUUAGACAGAAUACACAACACGUGAGGUCCAGUUAUAAGUUAUAAGAUAUUCCUUCACACUUUUUAUUGAUGGGUCUGUAAGUGCAUAUGGUUUUCUAGUAUUGAAUUUCGUAGGCGAUGAUGUUAGUUUUUAGUAACAUAUACACAACCUAUUAUACAAUUCAAACGAUGUUCUUUGUUCAUUUUACAUUAAUCCCACUAGGGAUUUACUCUGACAAUUAUAAAAACUUAAAUAAGUUCGUGAAGAUAAAACUAAUUUAAAUGUGAACACAAAUAAAAAGAUGUGUUAUGCUUGCAAAUAAAACCAGACCAAACAUUUCUGAGAACAUGUAGAAGGUACGCAUACAUUCGAUAUUCUGUUUAAACUUCAUAUAUUUAUUAGUUUAAACACUAACUGACUAUAAAAGAGAUAUGUGUGUAGUCUAAUUGGGACUAAAAUGAUAUACAAUUAUCGUGCAUUGUUGAUCGACCAGCACAAAUAGCGGCAUUGGUAUGUUAGUACAAUGACAAUUGCAAUGUUAUAUAAAUUCAUCUUGUUGUCAAAUCGAACUGUCUUACAUGAUAAAUAGGUCUUGUACAAUGAAAUGAAUAGAAAAUCAGAAAUGACGUAUAGAAGAUCUUUAAAAUAGACAUGUGUUUUAGGCAGUUUUAUCUGAUAGCCUGACACAUCUAAGGACCGGAACAACUGUUUUAUUUCAAAUGGCAUAUUUAUAAAUAUGAUUACCAACAAUGCAUGCCAAAAUGCGUAUAUAUUUUAAAAAUUGACCGAAGUACAUCAUAUGUUUUUGUUCUUGUCAUGUUUUUGAAAUAUUCAAGGAACAGAUAUCGAUUGAUAUUAUGCCUGCAUGAUUACAAACAUUAUAUAUUUAAAACGAGGUUUCGUGCACAAGCUCUCUCAUGAUAUUGAGUCUAAAUCGUUAUUACAUAUUAACUUUCAUUUCUAUAACAAUUACAGGUUUUAUCAUGCAUUGGAGUAUUGUCCAUGACUACCUAUCAAAGUUAUUCUAAUAAAAGAAAACAAGAGGAAACGUUGGCUAAAUUGACACAAACAUUUUUGACCCAAUUGCAAAAGAAAGCAACAUGAAUUGACAAGCAACGAGGAGACGGCGGUAACUGAACACGCUCACACGAUAGAAAAAGAGAAAGUGAAUAACAAUUUUUAUUUCAAUAAAUCUAACCAAUUAACCACAGUGCACA